UACGUAGGGUGCGAGCGUUAAUCGGAAUUACUGGGCGUAAAGCGUGCGCAGGCGGUUUUGUAAGCCAGGUGUGAAAUCCCCGGGCUCAACCUGGGAAUGGCAUUUGGGACUGCAAGGCUGGAGUGCGGCAGAGGAGACUGGAAUUCCUGGUGUAGCAGUGAAAUGCGUAGAUAUCAGGAGGAACACCGAUGGCGAAGGCAGGUCUCUGGGCUGACACUGACGCUCAUGCACGAAAGCGUGGGGAGCGAA
rnacentral:rRNA from 1 species